AGGGAUGCAACACGUGGACUUUCCUGGACGUCACCCAUCCUAGUACUACUCUCGCCCAAGCACGCUUAACUGCGGAGUUUUGAUGGGAUCUGGUGCAUUAGUGCUGGUAUGAUCGCAUCC
rnacentral:rRNA from 1 species